GACGAACGCUGGCGGCGUGCUUAACACAUGCAAGUCGAACGGAAAGACCCUGCUUUUGUGGGGUGCUCGAGUGGCGAACGGGUGAGUAACACGUGAGUAACCUGCCCUUGACUUUGGGAUAACUUCAGGAAACUGGGGCUAAUACCGGAUAUGAGCUCCUGCUGCAUGGUGGGGGUUGGAAAGUUUCGGCGGUUGUGGAUGGACUCGCUGCUUAUCCGCUUGUUGGUGGGGUAGUGGCUUACCAAGGCUUUGACGGGUAGCCGGCCUGAGAGGGUGACCGGCCACAAUGGGACUGAGGGACGGACCAGAAGCCUACGGGAGGCAGCAGUGGGGAAUAUGGCAGAAUGGGCGGAAGCCUGAUGCAGAAACGCCGCGUGCGGGAUGACGGCCUUCGGGGUGUAAACCGCUGUCGCCUGUGACGAAGAGUGAGUGACGGUAAUGGGUAAAGAAGCAACGGCUAACUACGUG
rnacentral:rRNA from 1 species